GUGGAUAACUUCGGGUCUGAGCACACUCCAUCAGGGUUUCCGUAGCAACCAGAGGACUUCACAGGAGAGAGUGAAGGGGAAUUAAGAGCCAGAGAGAGCAGAGGAGAGAGGAGGAGUCCGGAAGAUGCCUGGCUUGGGACCCGAGAGUGGCAGAAUAGCAAAGCCUGCAGCAGCCACAGCACUGUGGUCCUGAGACCCAGGCCAACUUCCUAGAGGACUGGUCGGUGACUUCAGAGGGUAGGGGUGGCCUGGGCCAACACCCAAUUCCAGCUGUCCCUAUGACCCCAUACAUGCAGCCCCCCGAAAACCCAGAUUCCAAAACCACCUUCUUGGACUCUUCCCUGUUUCUAGCUUCUGACAUUCAAUCAUCUCAAUAUGACAGAUAUCACCAAGUCCUGCAGAAUAUUUCUUCACAAAGAACUGCCCCCUGUCCCAUCAUAAAGACACCUGGGCCACCCCAUGCUCUUCCAAC
rnacentral:lncRNA from 1 species